rnacentral:lncRNA from 1 species
CUGUCCUUUUGAAUUUUUGAAUAGAGUGAUAUAAAGGAAAAUUUUAGCUAGCUAACAUAUUUUUGAUGUGGUCACUAAUUUAAUAACAGUAACACAAAGAGUCCAACACCUUUGAACACACUCCAUGAGUAUUUCCUUCAUGGUCAGUGUUCAAAGAGUUUCAUUCUCAUUUCUCUUUUAUUCUGAUAUUUUAAGUUCUGGUAUUUAUCUUUUCCAUAUGGCAGAAAAAGAGCAUAUUAGCUGUUGGAGAAAAGGGGGAAAAUGUAUGACUUAAGCAACACAAGAAGCUGCUUAUCAUUCUUGAUAGCUCUAUAAGAAACAGAUGCCACCACAGUGACUUCCUGCCAGGCAGAGCAAGAGGAAUUCUGGGAAACCAAAUUAGAUAACAACAAGUUUGUUGUGUUUACACAAGCAUGCUAAUGAAUCAUGUGAUAAGGCCCAUGUUAAUUUCUAAUAAAUGGAACAAAUUCUUUUCAUGGAAUGAUAAACUUUGAUUGAAAUAUUUCAUGUCUAAUGGCCUCAAGCAAUUUCACAUGUGCCUUUUGGAUGCUGAGAGGGAAAAAGUACUUUGCAGAUGUUUUUCAAUGCAAUUGAACUUUCCCUAAAAACUACCUCUUAAAUUGUUGGUCUGAUUUACUACCAAAUUUUAUAAAUUUCAUAUUGGCAUCAGAGAUUUACUAAUGUCACAUAGAUGGAAAUCUGGAUAAGGAAAAAAGCAAUAUUUAAGAGUCUGUAAAACCUCAGAAUUUAGACAAAUAUGAAUUAGUAAAAGAAGAUUGAGAUAGUUAAUAGCAGAACUAUAUGGAUGAGAAUUGUAAAAAUGGUUUCAGUAAUCCCACAAAAGCAGUGGAUUCUAGGACAUCUUUCUCUCUCAAAGGAAAGGUUGGAAAUGUGAUGAUAGGUAGGUAGAUUAUUUUCCCUUAAAGUUGUAAUUUUAAGAUAUAGGUCAUUUCUCUCAUUUUAUUUCCCACAUCUUUAUUAUAUUUAUCAAAAUUGACAAUCUCUCCUUCAGUCACAAAACUUUCCCAAAUAAGUAGCAUUUUGCAUAUGAUUCAUUAUCACUACUAUCUCUCCAAAAUAUUCCUCUCCCUUAGUAAAUCAUGAUGCUUUAACCUAGUAUGGUUUUGCCAGACCAUAUAUUUAUUUUAUUUUUUGUGUUACCUCUUAGAUUCUCUACAUCUGUGAAGCACUUUUCUGUUUACAAGCCCUAUGUAUAAUUAAAGGAACUAUGGGUUCUUGCAAGGAAUGCAGAAAUUCUGGCUUCAGUUUCCAGUCAUAGGUUCACUCCGCAGUCACACUUGUUAUUUGCCAUGUUUCUGGAAUGUUAUGUGAGAAGUGAUAUGUUCUUUUAAAAAGAUCUUGGUCUGAGAAAUCUUAUCCACGUGAAAAUCACCAAGGUAAGGAAAACAAUGAGGAACUUACUGCAUUUCCAAAGAGCUGCUCUUUAUUUUCUUAAAAUGAAUGGCAGUUACUUUUUAUUAGAUCUGACAGGAACCACCUCUCUUUCUUGACUCCUUUUUCCAUGCUUCUACUAUCACUCAGUUGUGCUUGGUUGCCUAGUCCCCAUUUCCAGGCCAUGGGCAAUAAACAUUGAGAUAUGACCCUGUGUUUUCUAGGCUGGCCUGAAUUUCUACGAUUUCUUACAGUGAGAAAAAUCCAAACCCACACACUGGCAAUUCGGCCAAACUCCGUGAGGCCUGAUCUUUUUGAGUGUUUCCGGACACACAUGGCCUUAAUAAUGAAACAAUUCCUGGCCUGAUCCCUGACUUCAAAGAUUAAAGAUUCAGUCUUCCUAGGAUACAUCCCAUUCUCAACCCUUCUCCCCUUGAUCUAUGUCCCCAAGUGCCCACUAUAUCUUUCAAAGCAUGUGUUUACACCACUUUGCAUUUGGAAAUUGUCAAAUUUUACAAUUUGCAAUCCAUCCAACACACUGCUGCCUGAGUUAUCUUUAUAAAGCACAGACCUUAUUUUUUUUUUUUUUUAAUACGGCACUUCCCAACUCAAAGACCAUCUGAAUGGUUCUCGCUCUAAACCUCUCACUUGGGCUGUUGCAACAUGAUAAGGCGUACCUCAGAGAUAUUACAGUUCUAGUUCCAGAUCAGUGCAAUAAGGUGAAUAUUGCAACAAAGCAAGUCAUAAAUUUUUUUUGGCCUACCAGCAUAUAUAUAAAAGUUUUGUUUAUGCUAUACUUUAGACUAUUAAUUAUGCAAUAGUAUUAUGUCUAAAAAAAGAUGUACAUACCUUAAUGAAAAGAUACUUUAUUGCUAAAAAUAAUCCUGUCAUCUAACAAUGCAGGGUUGCCACAAACCUUCAAUGUGUAAAAAGUGCAAUAAUUGUGAAGCACAAUAAAAUGAGGUAUGCCUGUAUAUUACAACUAUGAUAGAUCUUCUUUUUAUUGCCCUAACCAGGAUACAUUUACAAGAAAAGCAGACACUAUUAAAUUGUUACAAGACAAUAGAUAUAAACCUAGAAUUAUGGUCAUACUAACUAGGAGCCACUCUACUCCCACAAUCUGGCACACCAAAUUCCUCACCAUUCCACAGCCAGGCAUUUCAACUUACCUAAAAGUUUUACUUUUCUUUAAAAUUGUAAUUAUGAUUUUUAACAUUAAUGCAGUCACUCAUUUCAACUGCACAACAACUUUGAAACAAGUGCUUUUAUUAUCCCAAGUGUACAAAUGAGGAAACUGAGGCACAGAGAAGCCAGGUAACUGGCUAGCCAGUGAUGGUGCCGGGAGAGCCAGGAUUCAAACAGGACCUUUGUGUGUGAACAUUAGUCCAUGCUGUUUUCGUGCAAAGCUGUUUCAUUCAUUUACUUUCUACGUUUCCAUUCUUUAGAAAGAAUAGCCUAGUGUUUGAGAGAAGAAGCCUCAAAGUCAGAUUCCCUAGGUUCUAAUUUGUGCUCUACUACAUAGUUGGCCUUGGGUAAAUUACUUAAUUUUUUCCAUGACUUGGUUUACUCAGUUGUUAAAAUAAAAGGAUAAUUGGAGCACCAUUUUAAGGGUGACUGUGAUGAUUAAAUGAAUUAAAUCAUGUAAAGAUUCAAGUAUAUAAUAAGCUCUUGAUGAGUAGUUUCUGUUAAUAUUAAAUGCUAUUUCUUCCUCAAAGAACCUUCCUUUCCCCAUGAUCAUAGCACUUUGUUUUCUCACUUUGAACACUGGAGAAUCACUCACUAAAAGAACACUUGAAGACUUCUGAUGCAGUCCAGAUUUAAUAUCAGCAUUUCUGGGGGUAACCAGCCAUCAGUGGUUUUGUUUUUUUGUUUUUUAAAACUUACUAGGUGAUUCAAAUGUGCAGCAAGUGUUGUGAAAACUGCAUUAAAGCCUUUCUGAUAUGUAAAAAUAUUUGUACAUAUGUUUGCUGAUUUCCACAAAUUUCAAGCUCCUGGACCGCAAAUGCUAUUUCAAAUUCAUCUUUGUACUUCCAGUGGCAGCUGCCACGAUGGCUUUUAGAUAAUUGGCACAAACAGUUAUUGAUUCCUUUGACUUAAGAAGACAUCUCCCAAACAUGCUCACUGUUAUAGGAUAAAGGGGAAAAUCUUUUCAUGAUCAUGAAUCAACGUAAUGCAUGUCUUAAUCAGAGGCUGGCAUGAUUCAGCUAAAACGUUUUGGAUGGGAAAGUGGCAAGAGCGUGGUGAUGAAACAAAAUACUUAGUUGUUAAUUUUAAACUAAUGGCCCACAAACUUGUCUGUGCUAAAUCUGUAAUCGCCUGGGAAGAUUUUACCAAAAAUAUAUGAACCUCUCUUCCCCUGGAGAGUCCAGUGUUCAGUCAAGUAUAGAAAUAUUGACUUUGAUGUAUCACAGGAGACUCAGAACCUCCCUCCUUCUUCUCCCAGAUCUGAAAGUCAACUUCUAGAGUUUGCAGUUAGGUACCAUGAGAAUGAAAAGAAUCGAACACUUCCUCAUGUGUAAAUGUAUCUGGGUAUGUUGAAGAAGCAGGAUAACAGGAUGGGGAACAUCUACAUGUACAUGUGCAGACACACAUACUUAUACUUACCUAUUUUAAGUUACCCUUUACAACGGGCAUACAGUGAGAAAGGGAGUGUAAUAUUAGUCUAUAAAGGUAGUAUGUCCCAGGACACUGGUAUUUGUGAGAUAAUUAUUUUUUGGUGAAGUCAAAGACAUAGCUUUGCCAAACAACCAUCAAAUACACCAAGUCAUUUUGAAGGAUGUUGAGUCUAACUCAGUGUACUCACUAUAUAGUGAUCUAGACUGAAUCUAGAUAAUUGUAAUGUGUCACCUUACAAUGGUCAUAGCUACUGUUUCUAAGUACCACCACCAUUUUUAUCAUGUUUCAAUCACAAUUAAUUGUCAGGUGGUAGGAUUUUAUGUUAUAAUGUUGGCAUGCUUAAUGCUUUUGGAUAUUUUACCUAAUAAUAGGUAAUAAGAGAUCAAAGGUACAAUAAAGCAUAAAACAAGCUCCUUCUAUAAUGCAGAGUUGUUAGCAUAUUGCAUAUUAUUUCAAGCUGAGAUAAAACAGUGCUCACGCUGUAUUAUUUACAUUCUUUCAAAAUUUUGUAAACUUUUACAACCUAUCACAUUAUUCAUCCAAAUAUCUUUCCAUUUAAAUUAUUCUUAAAACUAUUUGUUUCUCCUUUCAUCAUAAGUGAAAGGAGAAACAAAGGGAUAAACAUACUAUAUCAGUAAUACAUACUUUUAAAAAUUAAUUUUUUAAUUCAUUUU